UGAUCGAGUCUGUCGGCGAUCUAGAUCAA
rnacentral:sRNA from 1 species